rnacentral:rRNA from 1 species
AGGCUUUGAUCCUGGCUCAGGAUGAACGCUGGCGGCGUGCUUAACACAUGCAAGUCGAACGAAGUCUUCGGACUUAGUGGCGGACGGGUGAGUAACGCGUGAGGAUCUGCCCUUAGGUUGGGGACAACCACUGGAAACGGUGGCUAAUACCCAAUGUGCCGAGAGGUGAAAGGUUAACUGCCUGAGGAUGAACUCGCGUCUGAUUAGCUAGUUGGUGGGGUAAGGGCUCACCAAGGCGACGAUCAGUAGCUGGUCUGAGAGGAUGAUCAGCCACACUGGGACUGAGACACGGCCCAGACUCCUACGGGAGGCAGCAGUGGGGAAUUUUCCGCAAUGGGCGAAAGCCUGACGGAGCAACGCCGCGUGAGGGAGGAAGGCCCUAGGGUUGUAAACCUCUUUUCUCUGGGAAGAAGAUCUGACGGUACCUGAGUGAAUAGCCUCGGCUACAUCCGUGC